GUCUGGGCACUACAGGUGGUCUGGGCACUGUGGGCGCUACAGGUGGUCUGGGCACUGCGGGCAAUACAGGUGGUCUGGGCACUACAGGUGGUCUGGGCACUGUGGGCGCUACAGGUGGUCUGGGCACUGCGGGCAAUACAGGUGGUCUGGGCACUACAGGUGGUCUGGGCACUGUGGGCACUACAGGUGGUCUGGGCACUGUGGGCACUACAGGUGGUCUGAGCACUACAAGCACUACAGACACUUUAGGCACUUCAGUCAUUUUGGACACUGUGGGCCAUACUGACACUCUGGGCACUUGGAGUGCUACAGGCACUUUGGGCACUACAGGUACUCUUGGCACCAGAGGCGCUGUGGACAUUGUGAAAACACUUAAUAAAGAUCAGUCAGCUUUCACAGACCAACCCGGACCCCUUAUUACCAGUCACAGGACUGCAGGCGGGCAUGGAGCAGUUGGUCAUACAGCUUCCUGGCAAACGGAGCUCCCUGGCGAAUUGAGGGAGGACGUGAGGAACAUCACAAACUUACUGUCCUUGAACACCGACCCAACACACCAGAAUUUUCUGCUCCUCACCACGCUGGAUAUUACCCAUAUCCCCAGGGUGAGCCACGAUUCUAAAACUGCCCCUGUUUCUGUUACCAAUGACCCUCAGGUUGUGCGUUCGCUCACCAAACCGUCCACUCCUAAAACUCCUGCCUACACCACUGCCUCACAGCCAUCCACCGCUGCCCAGACUCUCCCAGCAUCCAGCCAUCAAUCUCAUACUAAAACCGCAGGUGAAGGUGAGAAAAAAUCAUGGACAGCUUUUCCUCCUCCACUCCUUGGAGUGCCAGACAACGAAACAGAUCUAAACCCACAUCAGAUUCCAGCUGGACCCCCCCCUGUCACCUCACACCAUGCCCAGACACCUGUACCUGCUACCAUCUACCACAACCCUACAGAUACCACUACUACUGCACCCUCCACCACCCUGUUCACCACCUCCAUCACCACGACUCCAAACACAUCCACCACCCCAGCUACAACCACAGAAGCCACCACAACCACAGGCACCACUACUGGUUCUCUGACUACAGCCCGUACCACAGCUCCAACUUCAACAGCGGCCCCUACCACACACCCCACCACCAUGCUUCAGCUGGACACAACAGUGGUGAAGUGUGUGGUGAACCUUCCCAAAGCAGUGGCUGGGACUGACCAGGCAGUGUUGAGUUUCUCUGCGCCCGGUGGUUUCUGCAUCUUCAGAGUCCUACUGCACAACGGCUGGUCAACAAACUGUACACACAACAGCCCACACACCAACACACACACCUGCACACUGCAGCAUUUAACACCAGGGACUUUCUACAGCGCCGAAAUCCUCUCUCAGACCGAUGGAGAACGUUUUAGCAUCUACUUCCAGACUGGUGAGUCUCUUUUACCUGUGUUUAUAGUUUAUUCCAAUUCAAAUCAAUUGAGAUUUACAGUGAG
rnacentral:lncRNA from 1 species